CCCGCAGUAAUGUUUCUAGAAAGGGCCAAGAUUUAAUAUGUCAUACCUUAUACAAUGUACGAUUCGAUAAAUUAUUUAAAUAUCACAAAUUUAUUUCCAUAUUAAAAGCUGGGGUGAGCAGAUGGCCCGUUUAGUCACUCCCCAUAUUUAUACAAAUAUAAAAUAUGAAGUAAUUACACGUAUCUCUAGUAAAUAGAUACAAAAGCAUAAUUAUUAUUAUUUUUUUAUUACUAUAUUAAUUUAUAGUAAUUACA